CAGCAGUCGCCGCGGUAAUACAGAGGGUGCGAGCGUUAAUCGGAUUUACUGGGCGUAAAGCGUGCGUAGGCGGCUUCUUAAGUCGGAUGUGAAAUCCCUGAGCUUAACUUAGGAAUUGCAUUCGAUACUGGGAAGCUAGAGUAUGGGAGAGGAUGGUAGAAUUCCAGGUGUAGCGGUGAAAUGCGUAGAGAUCUGGAGGAAUACCGAUGGCGAAGGCAGCCAUCUGGCCUAAUACUGACGCUGAGGUACGAAAGCAUGGGGAGCAAACAGGAUUAGAUACCCGAGUAGUCCCUGUCUCUUAUAC
rnacentral:rRNA from 1 species